CCCGGAAGUGCAGUACAGCCUUACCGGUGACUAGAAGAGUUACAAGCUCCAGGCAGUUGACUUGGAUCCACCUUGAACAGGUCCAAUGGACUCCAGAUAAGUACUGUCGACCAACAGUCUACUUUUCCCCACCUACCGCCUGUUCCUGACUACCUUUCCCUGCAGCCUGCCAGGUCCAGGUCCAGGUGUCCCCUCAAAAAUCUGCAUCAAGGACAGCUUCAAAGUGGCUGCCCUAAGUGAUCUAACCUCACUGACUGCUUCAACUAGGCCUGUACUUUCUUAGCUACUAUCGCCGGAGACUGUCGCACAAAGCCUGGACACUGAGAUCGACUGCUUUGUCCCCGACUCCAGAAGAACGAGGCUUCACCCUGGCAGCCAUGCUCAACUCUACUGGAUUGAGGAUCCCAUAUGGAAGAGGAAGCUUUCCUUCCUGUCCCCUCUCCUCGUUUUCCUGGCUUUACUAACCACACUCUGAUUUAUCAGUUUCUUCUGUUUCCCCAACGACAUAUUCAAAAAUCUCCAAUCCAACAACUAAUCAACUAUUGUUACAGGACUAUCAACCGUUGGUCCCAGAGCUAGGGGAACAUGACUACCAAAUGUGCCCAGAUGGUGAGAAGCAAAAGUACCCCAGAUAUAUCUGUGUCCCUAGACAACAGGAAGCAGUCUAAAAGACCACACCCAUAACCCAGCCUUUCCCUUUUCUCUCAUCUUUUAUAAUAAACAAAGGGGAGGAAUUUUAGCAUUCAGGCAUUUACCUGACUUGCUCUCAGGGACAUAGCAGGACAAGUCACCAGCAGCAGCUAAGAUGUGACAUUGUAGCUACUGCAGCCACCAAGUAGAGAACUUUUCCUAUGUGUAUACACUAUAUUCCUCUUAUAAAAGGCAAGCCUUUCUUGCCCGUCUCUUUCCUUCUGCUCUUGCUCAGAGGCUGCCUCUGCACCUCCUCCCAAUAAACCUCCCAUGUGAGCUCUGUUGCA